rnacentral:rRNA from 1 species
UACAGAGGGUGCAAGCGUUGUUCGGAAUUACUGGGCGUAAAGCGCGUGUAGGUGGCGAUGUAAGUCGGGUGUGAAAUCCCUCGGCUCAACCGAGGAAGUGCACUCGAUACUGUGUCGCUUGAGUGUUGGAGGGGAUGGCGGAAUUCCCGGUGUAGAGGUGAAAUUCGUAGAUAUCAGGAGGAACACCGGUGGCGAAGGCGGUUCUCUGGGCAUGUCCUGACGCUGAGGAGCGAAAGUGUGGGGAGCGAACAGG